CUGUGUUUCAGGGCAACCCGUGGCCACCGCUCCAGGGAUGCUGAAUUAGCUGCUGCUCCGCCGAGCCGCUCCACCGUCACCCCCCGCACUCCCGGCCGCGGCUCUCCCUCGUGUUGCCCCCCCACUCUCCCCCCGUGCCGCCGCAGCGCCCGCUCCGUGCCCUCCCCAAGAAGAAGCCGCUCCGACGCUGUCCCAUUGUCUGCACAUCCAUGGGGACCUUCUGUUGUGCGACGGCAGGGGAAGGAAGCGGGCGGUCUGUGCUCUUCUAUUCCGUUCAGUCCCAGAAGGUGGUUUGGGUCCUUUAACCAAAUAUACUCUUUAAUUGCA